rnacentral:rRNA from 1 species
AGUCUCAGUUCGGAUUGAAGGCUGAAAUUCGCCUUCAUGAAGCCGGAAUUGCUAGUAAUGGCAGGUCAGCAUACUGCCGUGAAUACGUUCCCGGGCCUUGUACACACCGCCCGUCACACCAUGAGAGUUGGGGAUACCCGAAGCCUGUGAGCUAACAGUAAUGAAGCAGCAGUCGAAGGUAGAAUCAAUGAUUGGGGUGAAGUCGUAACAAGGUACC